AAUAAAAGGGUGCUCAAAGAACUACUCCCCAUUCAUUGCAUUAAAAAAAAAAUCUUUCCGCAGCUUUCUAGAUUUCCAUUUUCUAUCAUCUUAUUGCAAAGUUGGGGCUCACAAUGCUUCCAAGAGACCGUGCUGACCAGGCAGCUGCGAUAGACUACAGGGGUGGUGGUGGACUCCGUGCUCAGGAUAGGAGGGGAGCUGGCAUGUUGGAGAGGAAGGACUGCACAGGAGAGGCAAAGACUUUCACUCCGUGCCAUGCAUGCUCCCCGCCCCCCAAUCCAUCCCCCCUCCCCCAGCUAAGGGUGGGUAGACCUGGCAGGAGGCUCGUCCCAGGCACUGGGGGUACAAUACAAGCGCCUCGGAGAGAGUCCCGAACCUGCCCUAGCCAAAAUGGCGGCCGAGAAAGAGCGGAAGUGACAAAGCAGGCCGGGACUUCACAUCCUUCCAAGGCAGUGAUGGGCUCUUCUCUUUGGCUUGAAGAAAACAAAUGAGACCCCUAGCGCUUUGAGGCCACUAGACUGGUGAAGCCUAAGGAUGAGAAAUGAUGUUGCCAAUGGACCUCAAGAUCCUUGAAAAGCACACUUGGACUGGAGUCCCAGGGACAGUCACUUUUAGUGCUCCCACAAUUCGAUAGCAUAAGACAGCACAUGGACAGUUUGCCUUUGUAAAUUUAGGUCAACGUCAACCAACACAUUUAUCUCAACAUUUGUAACCCACCUUUAAUAGAAUGCAUCGGAGUGUAUCAUUGGCUAGACAUACUGAAAACUAGUAAAUGCCAACUGUGAAGGAUUAACCAAGAUCAUUUUAAGAUGUGCUCUGUAAAUACACUUAUCUUUUGCUGUUUCUCUAAACUUCACGUUAACAGUUUCAAGCUAUACGUAACAUCCCCAAAGAAUCUUAAAUGAAAAUGAUAUACAUUGUUGGUUACAUGUAUCUCGCUGCCUAACCCUUCAGUUAGCAGGUUUAACAAGUUGUUUCAUGCAACACAGUAUUACAUUAAUUUCUGAACUUGUGAUAAAAUAUAUCCUUAAAAACCAAA